UACGGGGGGGGCAAGCGUUGUUCGGAAUUACUGGGCGUAAAGGGCUCGUAGGCGGCCAACUAGGUCAGACGUAAAAUCCCUCGGCUUAACCGGGGAACUGCGUCUGAUACUGGAUGGCUUGAGUUUGGGAGAGGGAUGCGGAAUUCCAGGUGUAGCGGUGAAAUGCGUAGAUACCUGGAGGAACACCGGUGGCGAAGGCGGCAUCCUGGACCAACACUGACGCUGAGGAGCGAAAGCCAGGGGAGCAAACGGG
rnacentral:rRNA from 1 species